rnacentral:lncRNA from 1 species
AGUGGACAUGUUGUGAUUUGAGGCUUGGCCUCUCCUCAAAUAUCUAUUUGGCUGCUUUGGUGGAUUUCUUCCAAGGUUUUGCCCCUCAGGAUUGUCGAGAGGCUGUGAAGGUGUUGGCUUGCCUCCCCUUGUGUUUAGGGACUCGAAGGAGGGGCCUCCCCAAGGCCUAGUUGUCCCCUUCAAUUGGCUUGCCUUCGCCUUCCUUCGAGUUUUGUGGACUCAAAGGGAAGGG